UGAUGGGCAGUCAAGGCCCUCCCUCCCUCCAGUGCUGGAGGUGUGAAGUCCUGAAAGAUAAGAGCUGACCUUGCAGGCUUUUGACUAUUGAUACAUCUGACGAGCAAUCAGGCCCGUCCCUCCCUCUGCCAAACUUGAAAGGCGGGAGCCAGGCCAGACACAGCAGCUCUUGCGCAGGGCCCAGGGAGAGGUUGGAGGCUCGAGGCAUGGCCCGUGACACUGACCAUGGAUAUGAUAAUUCAUAACUUCUUGGAGUGUGGGGGCUUCCCUCCUUCCCCCCCAGCAGAUCAAGACCACCACUUCAAGUGACAGACAUGGAAGCUGCAACUAUCAAGUUUCAUCGCUGGACCCCGUGGGCGGUGACUAUGGACAUCUGUCCACUCUCAGCUUUUCUUUCCCUUACUCUCCCUUGCUCUUAUCCUGCCUUUCUCUCCCCUAUGCAUUUUUCUCCUCCCCAGAAAGGUUAUGACAGCACCCAAAAAUGUUAGCUUACCUAUUGAUUAUGACAGCACCCAAAAAUGUUAGCUUACCUAUUGAUUAUGACAGCACCCAAAAAUGUUAACUUAACAAUUGAUUCAAAAUUGUUAAAAUAAAUCUUAUCAAUAUAUGUUUUCAUA